CCAAACCAGCACACACCUCUAGAGGAGAUUGCACACAGAUUUUUGGAUUUGCUUCCCUGAGAUUCCCUCCUUUCCUGGAUUUGGCCCUUCAAAUCCUGGCUGCUUUGACAGCUCUUGAUUCUAACCUCUCUCUCCUAAAUCUGAUAAGACUGCAUCUUUCCUGCUAGUGCUCUCUUCCAGUGUACUGUGAGUUAGCAAGAACCCUCCAGGAAGAAGCCUGGGAGAAACGAGCUCACCUCGUUGUGCUCUCCUUCACUCAGGGAUCAUAGCAUCUUAAGAUGAAAUCCCUUUGAAAGCGAAGACCAUUUCCAUGACACCAGAGCAAAAAGUCAAGAUGAAAUGAGUAACGAUGAAGACCGGAACCUGCCUUAUGUCGAAGACAUGCUCGUCACGCUUGUCUUUGGCACAAUUCCUUGAUGAUGUGCUCCAUGCCUGCCAGUAGGGGCUGACGCCCAGAGACCAAAAGACAGGAUACAUGGUGCUUACAGCAGACAUGGAAAGAUUCACAGGGCAGGAAGGGAUUUUCCCUUCUUUUCUCUUCUUUGGUGAGAAGGGAGACUUUAGAAUGUAGAAUACGGAAGCAGUGACUUUGUUGGCAUACUACGCAUUGAAGUUAUGCUCUGAGAGGAAGACAAUAUCAUCAGGAGAAAGGCUUGCUUGCAUUUUAGAUAUACCAUUCUGAAGAGAAUAGAGCACCUGGUAAGACUUUACAGCCACCCUUUCUUCAUGAUGCAGCACCCACGGUCACCAUGACUUUGAGACCCCUAAGGAACCCAGCCAGGGUGGAGCUGAAGAAGUGGGAUGAGAAACAGAAAAGAUGGAGGCAGAUAAAGGUGACGGGAGAAGAAAGAGGAAGAUGGAGAGUAGACUCGGCCUGCACGUUCUUCCAGGCUCUGUGGAGGCUAAAUAUACAUUAGCACUGAGGAGCUAAAUCUGUAUUAUCCUUUGCAGUUAUGUCCACAGGCGUGCCUUUUAACUGAUGUGAAGGUCAACUGAUCCCUGUUGGGGACACCAUGGACUCCUGUUAAGCGGCGUCACCUACCCCACUGCCUUCUCUGGGCAAGUCACAAACAACACCAAGGGCCACCCUCUGGCCUUCUGCUUCCCACCUCCUUUCUACUGUGCACUGCUCCACAACCUGGAGGAAAUGUUAAGUCCAAUGAAACGCCUGGUCAGACCUUAAACCCGGAAACCAGAACAAGCAGCCCCAGAUGCUUAUCAGAACAGGAACUCCUGGUGGGUAAAAACCACCUGCAAACAGUAUAGAUUUUCUCUUUUCUGACAUGAAUUGGGGCGUGUGGAGCUGCCAUCUUAGACCCUGAUCCAGAGCAGUUUUGGCCACCCUGGGAGACGGGCCACGAUGGAACAUCUUCCUCUGCUCUUUUGAAGUCUUUGUGCUGUGUAAGUGACAAAGAGAUUAUUUGCCCUUUCUGGACUUUUUAUUCUGUGCAAUAAAAAGGUCCUUUGCUAAAA